rnacentral:lncRNA from 1 species
CGUUGGAGUAGUGAGAAAGGUACCAGGAAACCACUCGUUUGAGGUGAAGAGAGAGAGUUACAGAAAUAGCGGUGUUUUCUAUCGAGGUGGAUAAGAUGAGCACAACGAAAUACGGGAACGCAAGGGUACAAUGGCAAAGGAUGGCAAUUGCAUCGUCCUGCAUGAUUCUAGCAACAAUCACACUCGUUUGCAUGUACUAUAGCAUGAUGCACAACCCUUAUGUGACGUUUCUCAUCACUGCAGUGCUGGUGUCCCUCCUCUAUAUACUGUUGCUACUGACUGAGCACAAGCUAUGUAAACAAGAGCAAGCUCUGCAUUUAGUAUCUGAGGUGUCUCCUAAAGAAAGGUUAUGUCAUGAUAAAACACAGGUAAUAUGACCUGACGAAAGGCAGGUUCAAGGUUCUCUCACCCGUAA